rnacentral:tRNA from 1 species
GCGCCCGUAGCUCAGCUGGAUAGAGCGCUGCCCUCCGGAGGCAGAGGCCACAGGUUCGAAUCCUGUCGGGCGUA